rnacentral:rRNA from 1 species
GGUUAAGCGACUAAGCGUACACGGUGGAUGCCCUGGCAGUCAGAGGCGAUGAAGGGCGUGCUAAUCUGCGAUAAGCGCCGGUAAGGUGAUAUGAACCGUUAUAACCGGCGAUACCCGAAUGGGGAAACCCAGUGUGACUCGUCACACUAUCAUUAACUGAAUCCAUAGGUUAAUGAGGCGAACCGGGGGAACUGAAACAUCUAAGUACCCCGAGGAAAAGAAAUCAACCGAGAUUCCCCCAGUAGCGGCGAGCGAACGGGGAGGAGCCCAGAGCCUGAAUCAGCAUGUGUGUUAGUGGAAGCGUCUGGAAAGGCGCGCGAUACAGGGUGACAGCCCCGUACACAAAAGCGCAUGUGCUGUGAGCUCGAUGAGUAGGGCGGGACACGUGGUAUCCUGUCUGAAUAUGGGGGGACCAUCCUCCAAGGCUAAAUACUCCUGACUGACCGAUAGUGAACCAGUACCGUGAGGGAAAGGCGAAAAGAACCCCGGCGAGGGGAGUGAAAAAGAACCUGAAACCGUGUACGUACAAGCAGUGGGAGCCCCACCACUAAGCCAGUGGUGAACUCCACAUACGCAUCCUUUGCUGAGGAUACGGUUAACGGAGCGAAAGCGACGUUCAACCGCAAAAGAAGCAGAGGGGGCUUAGUGGUGGGGUGACUGCGUACCUUUUGUAUAAUGGGUCAGCGACUUAUAUUCUGUAGCAAGGUUAACCGAAUAGGGGAGCCGGAGGGAAACCGAGUCUUAAUUGGGCGUUAAGUUGCAGGGUAUAGACCCGAAACCCGGUGAUCUAGCCAUGGGCAGGUUGAAGGUUGGGUAACACUAACUGGAGGACCGAACCGACUAAUGUUGAAAAAUUAGCGGAUGACCUGUGGCUGGGGGUGAAAGGCCAAUCAAACCGGGAGAUAGCUGGUUCUCCCCGAAAGCUAUUUAGGUAGCGCCUCGUGAAUUCAUCUCCGGGGGUAGAGCACUGUUUCGGCUAGGGGGCCAUCCCGGCUUACCAACCCGAUGCAAACUGCGAAUACCGGAGAAUGUUAUCACGGGAGACACACGGCGGGUGCUAACGUCCGUCGUGAAGAGGGAAACAACCCAGACCGCCAGCUAAGGUCCCAAAGUCAUGGUUAAGUGGGAAACGAUGUGGGAAGGCCCAGACAGCCAGGAUGUUGGCUUAGAAGCAGCCAUCAUUUAAAGAAAGCGUAAUAGCUCACUGGUCGAGUCGGCCUGCGCGGAAGAUGUAACGGGGCUAAACCAUGCACCGAAGCUGCGGCAGCGACGCUGAUGCGUUGUUGGGUAGGGGAGCGUUCUGUAAGCCUGUGAAGGUGGCCUGUGAGGGUUGCUGGAGGUAUCAGAAGUGCGAAUGCUGACAUAAGUAACGAUAAAGCGGGUGAAAAGCCCGCUCGCCGGAAGACCAAGGGUUCCUGUCCAACGUUAAUCGGGGCAGGGUGAGUCGACCCCUAAGGCGAGGCCGAAAGGCGUAGUCGAUGGGAAACAGGUUAAUAUUCCUGUACUUGGUGUUACUGCGAAGGGGGGACGGAGAAGGCUAUGUUGGCCGGGCGACGGUUGUCCCGGUUUAAGCGUGUAGGCUGGUUUUCCAGGCAAAUCCGGAAAAUCAAGGCUGAGGCGUGACGACGAGGCACUACGGUGCUGAAGCAACAAAUGCCCUGCUUCCAGGAAAAGCCUCUAAGCAUCAGGUAACAUCAAAUCGUACCCCAAACCGACACAGGUGGUCAGGUAGAGAAUACCAAGGCGCUUGAGAGAACUCGGGUGAAGGAACUAGGCAAAAUGGUGCCGUAACUUCGGGAGAAGGCACGCUGACACGUAGGUGAAGUGAUUUACUCAUGGAGCUGAAGUCAGUCGAAGAUACCAGCUGGCUGCAACUGUUUAUUAAAAACACAGCACUGUGCAAACACGAAAGUGGACGUAUACGGUGUGACGCCUGCCCGGUGCCGGAAGGUUAAUUGAUGGGGUCAGCGCAAGCGAAGCUCCUGAUCGAAGCCCCGGUAAACGGCGGCCGUAACUAUAACGGUCCUAAGGUAGCGAAAUUCCUUGUCGGGUAAGUUCCGACCUGCACGAAUGGCGUAAUGAUGGCCAGGCUGUCUCCACCCGAGACUCAGUGAAAUUGAACUCGCUGUGAAGAUGCAGUGUACCCGCGGCAAGACGGAAAGACCCCGUGAACCUUUACUAUAGCUUGACACUGAACAUUGAGCCUUGAUGUGUAGGAUAGGUGGGAGGCUUUGAAGUGUGGACGCCAGUCUGCAUGGAGCCGACCUUGAAAUACCACCCUUUAAUGUUUGAUGUUCUAACGUGGACCCGUAAUCCGGGUUGCGGACAGUGUCUGGUGGGUAGUUUGACUGGGGCGGUCUCCUCCUAAAGAGUAACGGAGGAGCACGAAGGUUGGCUAAUCCUGGUCGGACAUCAGGAGGUUAGUGCAAUGGCAUAAGCCAGCUUGACUGCGAGCGUGACGGCGCGAGCAGGUGCGAAAGCAGGUCAUAGUGAUCCGGUGGUUCUGAAUGGAAGGGCCAUCGCUCAACGGAUAAAAGGUACUCCGGGGAUAACAGGCUGAUACCGCCCAAGAGUUCAUAUCGACGGCGGUGUUUGGCACCUCGAUGUCGGCUCAUCACAUCCUGGGGCUGAAGUAGGUCCCAAGGGUAUGGCUGUUCGCCAUUUAAAGUGGUACGCGAGCUGGGUUUAGAACGUCGUGAGACAGUUCGGUCCCUAUCUGCCGUGGGCGCUGGAGAACUGAGGGGGGCUGCUCCUAGUACGAGAGGACCGGAGUGGACGCAUCACUGGUGUUCGGGUUGUCAUGCCAAUGGCACUGCCCGGUAGCUAAAUGCGGAAGAGAUAAGUGCUGAAAGCAUCUAAGCACGAAACUUGCCCCGAGAUGAGUUCUCCCUGAGACUUAGAGUCUCCUGAAGGAACGUUGAAGACGACGACGUUGAUAGGCCGGGUGUGUAAGCGCAGCGAUGCGUUGAGCUAACCGGUACUAAUGAACCGUGAGGCUUAACCUU